rnacentral:rRNA from 1 species
AGAGUUGAUCUGGCUCAGGAUGAACGCUAGCGGCAGGCUAACACAUGCAAGUCGAGGGGCAGCGCGGGUAGCAAUACCUGGCGGCGACCGGCGAAAGGGUGAGUAACGCGUGAGCAACGUGCCCGUAUGUGGGGGGAUAGUCGAUGGAAACGUCGCGUAAUACCCCGUAACACAUUUUCCCGCAUGGGAAGAUGUUGAAAGAUUUAUUGCAUACGGAUCGGCUCGCGUGCCAUUAGGUAGACGGCGGGGUAACGGCCCACCGUGCCGACGAUGGCUAGGGGUUCUGAGAGGAAGGUCCCCCACAUUGGAACUGAGACACGGUCCAGACUCCUACGGGAGGCAGCAGUGAGGAAUAUUGGACAAUGGCCGGAAGGCUGAUCCAGCCAUGCCGCGUGGACCGGGGAAGACGGCCCUAUGGGUUGUAAACCGCUUUUGCGAGGGAGCAAUAAGGGCAACGUGUUGUCCGAUGAGAGUACCUCGCGAAUAAGCAUCGGCUAACUCCGUGCCAGCCGCUGC